rnacentral:lncRNA from 1 species
UAGAUUUUUAAUAACUUAAAAUUCCUAAAUAAGAAUUGUAACCUAUAUAUAAAGGGGUAUGCUUGCUAUUAAUAAAGAUAACUAAGAAUAUUAUUUUAAAAUACGGAAUUGGAGUUCUCUCUAACGAAAUCCAAGAUAACAGCUUCUUUUGAUGAGAUGUAAUCUAUUUUCACAAAAUAGGUUGUUUAAAAAAUUACAACAAGUAAAAAAAGCAUAUUCUGUAAUUGAAAAUUCUAGAUAACCACAUAAUGACAAGAUCCUGCUCUUGUAAACAUAACAAAUUGGUAUCAAAGGCUAAUACAUUGUGUGACUUUGCAAUAAAAAAAGAUAUGCGAUUGAUGUUUCAGGAAGCUGUGGCCGCAAACGAUACACGGACUACAGAGAUUGAAAAACGAUUGGACAGUCAGUUGCAGGAGUUAUCAUCGCAAUUCAAAGAGAUACUGACCAGCUUUAAUCGUGACAGACGAACAAAAUCAGAAGGGACUACAAGCAGCAACCACUUCUAGGAACAAUCACCUCAAGUGUUUCACAUUGGAAGUCAAUUGUGAAAUGCAAACAACUCUCCAGGUAACGAAGUCAUCCCCCACUACACCAAGUUAGGCUUUCCAAUGUUUGAUAACAAUCACCUCAAGUGUUUCACAUUGGAAGUCAAUUGUGAAAUGCAAACAACUCUCCAGGUAACGAAGUCAUCCCCCACUACACCAAGUUAGGCUUUCCAAUGUUUGAUAACUUUGAAGAUCCUCUAAUAUGAU